rnacentral:rRNA from 1 species
GACAGAGGCCUCAAGCGUUAGGCGGAAUUACUGGGCGUAAAGGGCGCGUAGGCGGCUUGGUCAGUCCCGUGUGAAAUCCCUCGGCUCAACUGAGGAACUGCACGGGAAACUGCCUGGCUUGAGUUCGGGAGAGGGAAGCGGAAUUCCGGGUGUAGCGGUGAAAUGCGUAGAUAUCCGGAGGAACACCGGUGGCGAAGGCGGCUUCCUGGACCGACACUGACGCUGAGGCGCGAAAGCUAGGGGAGCAAACGGG